UACUUCAUCUUUUGUAUUUGAAGAUGUUUAUGUAUAAAGCAUAUAGGAGAAAUGAAUGUAAUGUUUCAUUUUGAGUAAAUAUGAUGUAAAAAGAGAUGAUGAAAAGCAAUGUAAUGGUUGAAUGAAAUGUAUAUGAUCAAAAAUGAAUCAUAGUACUUAUGUGGUAGUUAGCUUCCUUUCUUUCACUUAUGACUAUUGCUUACCCUCGUGUAAGCCGUUUGUGUAUAUUUCCGCUAGUACUUUUCUCUACUUGAAAAUGUACAGGUGAUGA
rnacentral:lncRNA from 1 species